GGGAUUGUGGCUCAGUGGUAGAGUGCUUGCCUAGCAUGCAUGAAGCCCUGGGUUCAAUUCCUCAGUACCA
rnacentral:tRNA from 1 species